rnacentral:piRNA from 1 species
UGUGAUUCCGAGCACUGGUUUUCUCA